UGCAAGUCGAGCGGACCGACGGGAGCUUGCUCCCUUAGGUCAGCGGCGGACGGGUGAGUAACACGUGGGUAACCUGCCUGUAAGACUGGGAUAACUCCGGGAAACCGGGGCUAAUACCGGAUGCUUGAUUGAACCGCAUGGUUUAAUUAUAAAAGGUGGCUUUUAGCUACCACUUACAGAUGGACCCGCGGCGCAUUAGCUAGUUGGUGAGGUAACGGCUCACCAAGGCAACGAUGCGUAGCCGACCUGAGAGGGUGAUCGGCCACACUGGGACUGAGACACGGCCCAGACUCCUACGGGAGGCAGCAGUAGGGAAUCUUCCGCAAUGGACGAAAGUCCGACGGAGCAACGCCGCGUGAGUGAUGAAGGUUUUCGGAUCGUAAAACUCUGUUGUUAGGGAAGAACAAGUACCGUUCGAAUAGGGCGGUACCUUGACGGUACCUAACCAGAAAGCCACGGCUAACUACGUGCCAGCAGCCGCGGUAAUACGUAGGUGGCAAGCGUUGUCCGGAAUUAUUGGGCGUAAAGCGCGCGCAGGCGGUUUCUUAAGUCUGGUGUGAAAGCCCCCGGCUCAACCGGGGAGGGUCAUUGGAAACUGGGGAACUUGAGUGCAGAAGAGGAGAGUGGAAUUCCACGUGUAGCGGUGAAAUGCGUAGAGAUGUGGAGGAACACCAGUGGCGAAGGCGACUCUCUGGUCUGUAACUGACGCUGAGGCGCG
rnacentral:rRNA from 1 species